rnacentral:rRNA from 1 species
GACGAACCGAGCGAACGUUGUUCGGAAUCACUGGGCUUAAAGGGCGCGUAGGCGGGUGCUCAAGUCUGUGGUGAAAUCCUCCGGCUCAACCGGAGAACUGCCAUGGAUACUGGGUGUCUCGAGGGUGGUAGGGGUAUGCGGAACUAUCGGUGGAGCGGUGAAAUGCGUUGAUAUCGAUAGGAACUCCGGUGGCGAAGGCGGCAUACUGGACCACAUCUGACGCUGAGGCGCGAAAGCCAGGGGAGCAAACAGG